rnacentral:rRNA from 1 species
CCUACGGGUGGCAGCAGUGGGGAAUAUUGGGCAAUGGACGCAAGUCUGACCCAGCCACGCCGCGUGAAGGAAGAAGGCUUUCGGGUUUGAAACUUGUUUUAAGUGGGAAGAGCAGGAGGCGUUACCCCUUGCAUAAGCCACGUCUAACUACGUGCCAGCAGCCGCGGUAAUACGUAGGUGGCAAGCGUUGUCCGGAUUUACUGGGUGUAAAGGGCGUGCAGCCGGAGAGACAAGUCAGAUGUGAAAUCCGCAGGCUCAACCUGCGAACUGCAUUUGAAACUGUUGCCCUUGAGUAUCGGAGAGGACAUCGGAAUUCCUAGUGUAGCGGUGAAAUGCGUAGAUAUUAGGAAGAACACCAGUGGCGAAGGCGGAUGACUGGACGACAACUGACGGUGAGGCGCGAAAGUGCGGGGAGCAAACAGGAUUAGAUACCCUAGUAGUC